rnacentral:rRNA from 1 species
CGGGUGGGUAACACGUGGAUAACCUACCUAUAAGACUGGGAUAACUUCGGGAAACCGGAGCUAAUACCGGAUAAUAUUUUGAACCGCAUGGUUCAAAAGUGAAAGACGGUCUUGCUGUCACUUAUAGAUGGAUCCGCGCUGCAUUAGCUAGUUGGUAAGGUAACGGCUUACCAAGGCAACGAUGCAUAGCCGACCUGAGAGGGUGAUCGGCCACACUGGAACUGAGACACGGUCCAG